ensembl:processed_transcript Snhg4 small nucleolar RNA host gene 4
CAAAUUCUUAAUUCUUCCUUGACUCUGAACCCACUUGUAGCAACUUAGAAUAAAGUCACUAACUAAACCUUAUUUCUAAACUCAGAUCAGUUCCCCAGCUGUUGUUGUCCUGUACCCAAAAUAAAACUCCCCUAUCUUUGCUCUUCCUGAUCCCUCUCUCAGGGAAGAUGUGGGCAGCAAGACACCACAGUUUCCUAUUAAUCUACCUCUUACAAGGACUCAGUUGAGCCUUGGAAUGCUUUGUGUGGGAUUUGGGCAAGUGUUAAUGGUGAGUAGUCUUCAGACUAGUGGUGAUCAGAGGGUGGUAGCUUGAAGGCAAAAUUGUGUGUGGAGUUUGGGACAAGAGUCAUUUCUCUUGUUUUCAAAUGUGUGGGACCCAGGGAAGGGCUGAGCUGGUUAUUUAAGUGUAUAGUGCAUUGUUGAGGUACUGUGGGUUGCUAAAGCUUGUUUCCUUUUUUUUUUUUUUUUUUUUUUUUUUUAGGAUGACUUGAAAGUAGGGUGGUCUUCACCAGGCUAAAAGAAGUAAUGAUCCAUAACAGGGUGCACUGUGGUUCUAGAUCUGAAUGAGAUCGCGUUCAUCAGGACUUCAGGUUUCUGACAACACUGUUUUGAGUAAU